rnacentral:rRNA from 2 species
GGGCACCACCAGGGGGUGCAGCUGCGGCUUAUUUGACUCAACACGGGAAAUCUCACCAGGCCCGGACACCGGAAGGAUUGACAGAUUAACAGCUCUUUCUUGAUUCGGUGGGUGGUGGUGCAUGGCCGUUCUUAGUUGGUGGAGCGAUUUGUCUGGUUAAUUCCGGUAACGAACGAGACUCUAGCCUGCUAAAUAGGCGUCGUCAUUUAGGUGUGCUCGACUUCGGUCGUGCAACUCACUGGCGACGUAUUAAAAUUCUUCUUAGAGGGACCGGUGGCUUCGAGCCACACGAGAUUGAGCAAUAACAGGUCUGUGAUGCCCUUAGAUGUCCUGGGCCGCACGCGCGCUACACUGAAGGAAUCA